AACGAACGCUGGCGGCAGGCCUAACACAUGCAAGUCGAACGAUAAGCCACCUUCGGGUGGUGGACAGUGGCAGACGGGUGAGUAACGCGUGGGAACGUGCCUUUCGGUUCGGGAUAACCCAGGGAAACUUGGGCUAAUACCGGAUACGCCCUUCGGGGGAAAGAUUCACUGGCCGAAAGAUCGGCCCGCGUCGGAUUAGCUAGUUGGUGGGGUAAUGGCCUACCAAGGCGACGAUCCGUAGCUGGUCUGAGAGGAUGACCAGCCACACUGGGACUGAGACACGGCCCAGACUCCGACGGGAGGCAGCAGUGGGGAAUAUUGGACAAUGGGCGAAAGCCUGAUCCAGCCAUGCCGCGUGGGUGAAGAAGGCCUUAGGGUUGUAAACCCCUUUCAGCGGGGACGAUAAUGACGGUACCCGCAGAAGAAGUCCCGGCUAACUCCGUGCCAGCAGCCGCAGUAA
rnacentral:rRNA from 1 species